AUUGAACGCUGGCGGCAGGCCUAACACAUGCAAGUCGAGCGGAUGAAGGGAGCUUGCUCCUGGAUUCAGCGGCGGACGGGUGAGUAAUGCCUAGGAAUCUGCCUGGUAGUGGGGGAUAACGUCCGGAAACGGGCGCUAAUACCGCAUACGUCCUGAGGGAGAAAGUGGGGGAUCUUCGGACCUCACGCUAUCAGAUGAGCCUAGGUCGGAUUAGCUAGUUGGUGGGGUAAAGGCCUACCAAGGCGACGAUCCGUAACUGGUCUGAGAGGAUGAUCAGUCACACUGGAACUGAGACACGGUCCAGACUCCUACGGGAGGCAGCAGUGGGGAAUAUUGGACAAUGGGCGAAAGCCUGAUGCAGCCAUGCCGCGUGUGUGAAGAAGGUCUUCGGAUUGUAAAGCACUUUAAGUUGGGAGGAAGAGCAGUAAGUUAAUACCUUGCUGUUUUGACGUUACCAACAGAAUAAGCACCGGCUAACUUCGUG
rnacentral:rRNA from 1 species